rnacentral:misc_RNA from 1 species
GUGCGCUAGCAUCUUAGGAGGUGGCCAUUCACGUACACGCACGCGCAUACAUACACACCCUCUCACUCUCCUGUAAUACACUCCUGUGUGAGUGUGUGGGCGGGCUCGACUGCACUUCUUGGAUCACUGAUUGACUCCCGCUCGCUCACGGUGUGUGCGUCGUUCUCUGCCCCCUCCCUCUGCCCUUUGUGGGUGCAUGUGGCUGCUCUCUUCAGCCUGGCCCUUCUGCAUCAUUUUUCUCGUCUCUUUUUGUUGUUUUUGUUUGUCGUUUGGAGGGGGCGCGCAAAUCUUGUGUUGCUGCGAGGCGGUGCUGACGCGCAUACAACCGCAGACACUGACAUCCCCGUCCCCUUCCCUCCCUUAGCAUCUGCUUUCUUUUAUGGUUGCUCUUGCUGCUCCUCUUUCCCGACAAGGUUGUCUCGUCUCAUUUACUCUUUUUUGUAUCGGUGUUAACGUAUGGGUGGUGGGUAGGUGUGUCCCAGGGUGCCCCCCCCCCUUUUCCCGGCAAGUGUGGUGUACUUCUAGUGACCAUGUGUCACGGCGGAGUUAGAAGUUAGCCAGCCUUCUCCACGCACUGCAUCUUUUUUUUGUCGUUUUUCUUUUGCUUGUUCCCCCACCACCACCACCAUCCACUCACACACACAUACACACGUCAUACACCUCUCACCCUCUGUUCCAGUUGGUCUUCAUCUCCCUUAUUCAUCGCUCUGCCUCUGCGGCGGUUGCUCACGAACAGCCUAGCAGGUGGAGUGGGCAAACCAAAGAACCAGAAAAAAGGAGGGUACAGAGGAGAGCUAGCAAAAAGACCAACUAAACCAGCGUGAGCGGUGAAGUCUCUCCGUUUGUGUGUGUGUGUGUGUGUGUGAGUGAGUGCCUGUGUGUGCCCCUGUUUCCUUUUUUUUCGUAUAGCCUCGCGCCAACUGCUUCUCUAACUGUUCGUGACUCUUCCUCUCUUUGGUGCGUUUUUCAUUUAUUUUCUAGACCGUAUAACGACUCCUCUGUUCCCCUCUGAGCUGGCACGAUUCAAUAAUCGACGGAAUAUUUCUCUCCCUCCAUUGUGGCCCAUAUUUCAUCAACCUACUGCACUGUCACCCAGCGGUUUCCCUCCCCUCCCUUCGACGAUCAACAGUUGUGUGUGCGUGUGUGUGUGUGUGUGUGUUUAUAGCUCCGUGUGGGGGUCUGUGGGUGCUUCCCUUGUUUUCCCCCGUUUAGCCGUCGGUGGACGUUUCAGCUGCAAAUCGCUUCUCGUGUGGGUCUGCGCUGCGCGCACUUCUGCUUUAACGUUUUCCGCCUGGCCUCUUCCCCCCCCUCUUCCCCUCACUCCUCCCUUCUUGGGGUCUGGUGUCCCGUGAAUUCGUUAGCUCAACGUCUCGUGUGCCUCUUUUAUGGGAUUCAUCCGUGCGUUCUUUUGUUUCUUUUUUACGCUAAUCCGUCAUCUAUCGUGCCUAUCUUCCUCGUGGGCGACUGCGUCUGAGUCGGCGUGUACGGGCUUGGUGCCACGAAGCACUCUUCGUCGGCACCGCGACGCUUCGCUCCGGCCACGGCAAGUCGCGCCCCCUCCUCGCCGUAAAGUGUCUGGCACGGAUACAAGUGAGCCACAGCGGUCAGAACUGGAAAACGAAGAGAAGUCGGCGGUGGUCCUACUCUCACGCUCCGAAGCAGUAGCAAGCCUACCGCGUUUGUUUGUUUUGUUUUGUUUUCUUUCCUGUAGCAUGGAGUGCAUCAACCAAGAGAACGCGAGCGCACGCUCGGCAACUAACGUGGCCAGAGGUGUAGAUGAACCAACAGUAGCUACAGUCCCGUUCUCACCGCUGCAGGUGGAGCUGCAGAGGUCAGACCCACUCUCGAGAUCCCUCUGUGAGCCGGUGCAACGCUCUCAGUCGUCGGCGUCCAACGCCGCUGAAGCCAAUGACACCGAUGUCCCGCCCCUCCUUGGCGGCGACCCGGCCGCGGCGCGCUCCUCCUCUAUCAUAUCCUCACACGACGCGUCGUUCUACAGCAGCCUCAUGGUGAGCCGGGCAGAGAACCUGGAUGCGCUGGAGAGCUGCACGAGUCGCACUGGGCGCAACUUAAUUUCACCGUCCACAGGUGCGGCAGCAGAGAGAUACGCACAUGAGCAGUCGCCUUCAGCCGAGCCGCGCCUCUCCACACCCAGGCCCCGACUAGCUCCAAACUCUGCGGAUUCGCACGGCGGUAAAGAGGAGGUUGCGCCCAACGCAGAGGCAGAGAUCGCCUCAGAGCAACCCGUCUCAUCCGGUGCUGCGGUGAGGACAGUGGAGUCAGGCGUGGCAGCAACAGGCCCCCACAGCGUUGGUGCCGAAGACCACAGCAGCGGCUCGCAAGCGCACGCGCACAAAUGUCUGGCGUCGCCAGUCGGCAAUGUGAAAACGCUUGAGGAGCUCCUGGACUGGCGCUCGCACCUUUCCGCUUGGAAGCAGUCUGUGGGCGCGCACGAGAGCCACAAUACAGAUGGCAACGACAACACUGUAAAGCACAUGUGCAACGAUCAGGCAAGCGAAGGGAAUAUGGUUGGACGUGUGAAUCGGAAGGGGGCGCCGGCGUCGGAGGGCUCGCAAGUAUCUUCGCGCUCAGAAUGUCUGCAGGGCUGCCAUGGUGGCUGUCACAGAACUCCAGCAGCCUCAUCAUCCUCUCCUAGCACGGACGCGAUUACGCCAGCCGAGAGUAACGCCGCUGGUGGGGACACCAUAGCGGUAACCCACAACCCUCAAAGCCAACACAGCCACCCCUCCAGCGGCGCGGCCAGCCAGACGGAGGUGGUAGAUACCUUCUUUACCAAGGAGUCCUCGAGCGCCUCCUCCUCGCAUCCUCGCAGUCCGGCGCAGGUGGACGGACACCCCUGGAGCACACAGCUGAAUGUCCAUCUAGAGCAGCACCUCUCUACGGGCGAAAAUCUUGCCACACAAGCGCCGCCCACAGCUCACGUCACCAUUAUCGACGGCCGGGUCUUGAGGGAAGGAGGAGGAACGGGCAAAAGCGGUAGACCACGCGGUGCCGGCCCGCCAACGUUGUCGUCGUCGCGGUGUCUGGAAGUCACAGGAUUGGAGGAUCAUCAUCCACCAAGCAGCACUGGGCACAGUUCGCCUUACAGUCACCCCGCUCUCACGCACGGAGUUGAGCGCCGGCCAUGGGUGCGUAGUGCUCUGCCUCCAUCAGCACACACGCCCAUUCUCCUGCACUCCUCGCCGGUAGGCGGCUUUGACGGCUGCCGAAGCCGCGACAACUGGAACAACCCUCACUCCGGAAGCAAUAAGAGCACAAUCAGCAGUGCCGGCAUUCAGCGCCAGCACUCCCGCGAGGAGUCGCUGUCGCAAGCAACGCCGCGUACGCCGGAGUCCUGGCGCCACAAGGUGAAGGCGAUGCCUCCUAUGGUGAAGCCGUUGAGGGAGCUGGCAAUGGAAGAGGAGUAUCCAGUGUUUGCGGUGCCGGUCGAUGAGGAAACUAACAAGGCCGUGGUGGCGUUCGUCUCUGGGUUUGUCCUGCUCAUCUGCCUGGUGUUUAUCUGUGCCAUGUGACGGCGCGUUCACGACGACGCAAUAAUGCAUGCAUCGCCCCAUCCACGUUGUACGCGCGCCAGAGAGAGAGAGCGGCGGAGACGCAGGAGGAGGAAGAAAACCUCGCUAUAUGCAUCAGAUCCUCGUCUUCUGAGAAAGGUCCACCUCCGCCACCCUUCCCUUCACUGUGGGUAGUCUUUUUUGUGUGAAUCUGCGCUAAACUGGACAGGGUAGGGAUGUGUCAGUGAAACGCGCAGCGCCCUCUUUUUUUUUCCUCUCCUGUACCACCGUGCCUCACUUGCGUGUUGUAUCUCCGUAGCGUAUUGUGUGACCUUCUCCGUGGGUCGGUGCCCUUUUCGUCCACGCAAAGUACGCGCUGGUGAUGAUGCUGCCGCCUCGACGUGUGCGUCCACCUUCACAUCCGCGUGAUUUCCUUUUGUAGAAAUCUGGGUUGUGUGUCUGUACUGCUUGAUAUUUUGUGUGCGUGUGUGUGUAUGUGUGUGAGGUGGUUUAGCCACAUUGUUUUGUUUCUUUUUUUUUCGAUCACGUGCGCGCUGUGUAUUUCUCCGCAAGCCUUCCACCUUCUCCACCCGGAUGUGUUUGUACCCCGCACAAUGAGUUGUUCAGUCAUGUGGUGACGGAGAGUAGGCAACGUCAAAUAGUGCGAC